AACCUCACCCAGGCUGGACGUGAAAAGGAUUGACAGAUUGAUAGCUCUUCCUUGAUUUUGUGGAUGCUGGUGCAUGGCUCUUCAUAGUAGGUGGAGUGAGUGGUGUGGUUAAUUCUGACAGAAAACAAGUCUUGGACAUGCUAGCUAGUUAUGCUGGCAAGAGUAUGAGGUACCACAAGUGAUGAAUGACACAAAUAUCAUCACUCUGUAUAAAAAUAAAGGGGAAAAGCGUGACUGCAACAACAACCGGG
rnacentral:ncRNA from 1 species